CUCCUCUCUCCUCUCCUCUCCUCUCUCCUCUCCAUGUGCUGCCGACCGCUCACACAGACAGGAAUCCGCUCACUGAGCGUCCAAAUUGGAAAGGGACCUCCGCGUUUCACUUGAUAAUUCUCGACUGUCUUCACUCUGCAAAAUUGUAGAGGAAGUGCCACAGCUAAACCGCGCUCCUCUGUUGUGUGUUUUGCGACACGUUUGAGUCCUCGCUUUGCUUUGUUUUUGCUCUUUAAGCCCUGGAAGUAUUCUUUCUCAACACAAGGACUGUGUUUCUGUAGCUGUGCGCGGAGAGACACCUCGACUUUAGGAGACAUGUGGAUGAGACGAGACUGUCAAUUGAAGACCCUCUUCGCGGUUCUGGUCCUCGCUGCUGCCGUGGACAGAAUACAUGGACAAGCUCCAAAGGAAAGCAUCAGGGACAGGGACUUGUCAACACAGGACACAGAGAGCGAGGUCCACUCUGUCACCACUGCCUCGCCGAUGAACGUCCCCAACCACCGGGCCGACCUCAAGGGCCUGCUGCUGCAUGAGCACCUACUUACGAGGGAUUUCCAGGGGGACCAGCAUUUUUUCAAGAGGGACGCCUCCUUGGAUGGAUAUUCCACCAUGCCGGGAGACCCCGUCACUCAGGUGGUGCCCCACGAGGACGCCCCGGCCUUCUCGGACAUUGCCACUACUGCCACCGCGGCCGCCACCUCCCCGCUGACCACAUUUUCUCCGACAACUCCCAGGCCGCUCAUGUCUUUCCCUGAAAAGAAGUCCUCUAAGAAAAGUGCGGACAAGGUAGAGCCAACGACGGACUCCCUCACCACUCAAGUGACGCCAAAUAAUAGAGGUUCAGUCAAUGAAAACCCAGUGGCUUCCUCAUCGUCGCAGAAAAGUCGGCCUCAAAGUUGGAGUGAUUCUCCAGUAGAAGGGACCCAUGCACCCUCCUCAAUGAAAUGGAGGAAGGGGAAGCUAUGGAAACAGCAUUGAAAAACAAACCCAGCCCCGAUCAUCCACUCCAUAACCUAGCUUCCAGAGAAGAAGGUCACACCACAACGUCCACAACCGUCAUCACCACCAUUACCACCAUGCAAACAGCAGAGCCAUGCAGCCUGAAUUUCACUGACCCUGAGGGCAACAUCGAAAUUCUGCAGCAGCUUGAUUCCGGAGGGGAGUGUAACUACCUGGUUACGGUCUACCUGGGAUAUGGCAUUGAGGUUCAGGUGCUAAAUGUGAGCGUGUUGGAGGGGGAGCAGGUGACAGUGGAAGACACAGGUGGACGAGAACCCUUCAUCCUCGCCAACGAGUCGGUCUUGAUGAGGGGCCUCGUGCUGCGCAGCUGGAGCAACCAGAUCUCCAUCCGAUUCCGUAGUGAGCAACGGCACAACUCCGGGUUUCUCCUGCUGCAUUACCAAGCCUUUGUGCUGAGCUGUGCGUUCCCCAAAGAGCCUGCUGGUGGAGAGGUUUCUGUGACGCACCUCCACGCCGGCGGAGAAGCCUACUUCCGCUGUUCCACCGGCUACAAGCUGCAAGGCCCCAAAAUGCUCACUUGUCGCAAUGCCACCACACCAUACUGGAGUGGGAAGGAGCCCCGAUGUGUGGCAUCCUGUGGGGGAAUGAUAAAAAACGCCACCUAUGGUCGCAUCGUCUCUCCCGGUUUCCCUGGCAACUACAGCAACAAUCUGACGUGCCAUUGGGUCCUGGAGGCCCCCGAAGGCCAACGGCUUCACGUUCACUUUGAGAAGGUUGCCCUGGCAGAGGAUGAUGACAGGCUGCUGAUUAAGAAUGGCAACAACAUAGACUCUCCUCCCGUGUACGACUCCUAUGAGGUGGAGUAUUUGCCCAAUGAGGGUGUGCUCAGCACUGGACGAUACCUGUUUGUAGAGUUCACCACAGACGGGACGUUGACCUCCACUGGUGCAGCCAUCAGAUACGAAGCUUUUGCGAAAGGCAUGUGCUACGAGCCCUUUGUGAAGUACGGCAACUUCAGCGGCAGUGACUCCACCUACGGUUUGGGCUCCGUGGUCGAGUUCUCGUGCGACCCCGGCUACACGCUGGAGCAGGGCUCCGUGGUCAUCGAGUGCGUCGACGCACAAAACCCGCAGUGGAACGAGACCGAGCCGGCCUGCAGGGCUGUGUGCAGCGGGGAGAUCACCGACUCUGCCGGUGUGGUGCUGUCUCCUAAUUGGCCCGAGGCCUAUGACAAGGGGCAGGACUGCAUCUGGGGUAUCCAUGUGGAAGAGGACAAGAGGAUCAUGCUUGACAUCCAAGUUCUCCAUGUUGGUAAGAAUGACCUGCUGACCUUCUAUGACGGCGAUGACCUGACCGCCAACAUCCUGGGCCAAUACAGCGGCACACGGCCACACUUCAAGCUCUACACCUCCAUGGCUGAUGUCACUAUUCAAUUUCAGUCCGAUCCUGCCACCAACAUCUACGGCUACAACAACGGCUUUGUGGUCCACUUCUUUGAGGUGCCGAGGAACGACACCUGCUCUGAGCUGCCGGAGAUCACCAACGGCUGGAAGAGCACGUCCCACCCUGACCUCAUCCACGGCACCGUCAUCACCUACCAGUGCUACCCUGGAUUUGAGCUGGUGGGCUCUGAGAUCCUCAUGUGCCAGUGGGAUCUCACUUGGAGCGGCGACGUGCCGAGAUGUCAGGAAGUUCUGACGUGUCAGGAUCCAGGAAAUGUGGAGCACAGUCAUAAGGUGAUCGCUAGCAACCGUUUCAUCGUUGGAUCAACGGUGCAGUUCGUCUGUAAUAAAGGCUACAUCCUGUCUGGCAACAGCCUCCUCACCUGCUACAACCGAGACUCAGCCACGCCCAAGUGGAACGAGAGGCUGCCCAAGUGUGCCCCUGAAAAGUACGAACCAUGCAGGAACCCCGGCGCUGCCUCCACCAGCGUGCAGAGCUCUGAAAAGGCCUUUUACCAAGCAGGAGAGAUGCUGACCUUCUCCUGCCGCUCAGGCCACGAGCUUCAGGGUGACGCCACCGUCUACUGUAUCCCUGGACACCCGUCACAGUGGAACAGCACUCCCCCUGCCUGCAGAGCAUCAUCAACCCAAUAUGAGAACGAACGCAGGCUAGAUGUUGUUAAUAUGGAUUAUAGCAUGACGGGAACCAAUAUCACCCUUGCCGUUUUUAUUCCGACUGCAAUCAUCUUAGUGGUUGUCCUCGGGAUUUGCAUCUACUUUACAAAACUCCAAGGGAAGACUGUCAGAAUGCCGACGUCCUCGCCACCAUAUGACAACAUGACAGAAGAGUCGGCUUUCGACAACCCCUUGUACGAGAGCGGAGUAAGUACAGAUGUCAUGAACAUGCAAGACGUGGAUUCCCAGAACACCAGUGUUCUGUCCUGAUCCUCUCCCAUCUGGCUGUCAUCCUGUCAUCAUCUCACGGUUCACCAGCAGAGGGCACCCUACUCCACCUCAUCUCUCAUCACUAUGUCAGUCAUCUAGUGGUCUUAGCUGAAGUUGCUCCUAAUAAUAGAAAAACAGGCACUCUUCCUCACCUCACUCAUGUCAUUUUCACCUUGGAUUCCCAUACUUCAUCCACAUGGAGGAGUGAGAGUGAUGUGUUAGACUUUCAGUAUCAUCAUUCACAUUGUGCACUGGCAGGCUCAUGCUAUAUACUAAACCCUGUCAGUCUGUCCACACUGGCUGUACUGCUCAACAACUAUGAGGACAAAUGAAAAAGCUUAAGAGGUGUCCAUUUAGAGACCUUAAAGCAAGAAUUGCUCAAGCUUUUGCCUUUUGGGACCCUCUCUGCACUGCUCAUCUUUUUUUCCUCCGACCUUUUUGUUCCCAAAUGAUUUCUUUCUCCAUUUUCCCUUUUGUGUGGAUUUACUGUAAAUAUGUCUUUUCUGUCCACGGUCAAAAUCUGUGAAUCUGUGGAUCACCAUGGUGAUAUUUUUAUAAAGUUAAAAUGGUGAUGACCGUUGGUGAUUGUAUGUUUUUAAGUACCUUUUUUUGAUGCCCUGAUCCAGUAGCAAUUAGAGACUGAGGGAAACAGUGCUUUGAUUUUUGAGAUCUGUUCUGAAAUUCCCCAUCAUCGCCCGACGUUCUUUGGACCAUCAUUACUUUCUUUUCUUUGUGUAUGGGUCUGCUCUUUGUAAAUAAACUGCCUGUCCAAUAUGAGUGCCUCACGACUGACUAUAAUCUGAGAAAUCACAUGUGAAAAUGUUUGUAAAACUGAAUCUUUGGUUUCACUAUGAUUUUGUAUUCGUAGGCCCGACAUUCUUAACACUCCACUGUGUUCAGUCAUACGGUUUCUCUUCUAGAAACAAAAACAAAUGAUGACGGAUAUUUUCCUACGAGCUGAUAUUGUAGUUCCAACCGCAUACAGCCUCAGAGGAUACAUACACUCAUACAUAUAGGACCCAUCAGCUAUGCAUAACUUUGUUCUUAUGUCACACUGUAAAGUCUGCCUCAAAGGAUAAAGAGCAAUUUGUUCAUUUGUGUAUGUUCCAAAAUGUGGUUGCACCUCAGCAUCAUCAGACCCUGAGAUGAAACCCAGUGCUAUGUCAUAAAGUAACCACAUGAUUUAGCUAACUUACCGACGCAGGCUGUGAGUCAAAUAUCCGAUUGAUUCCUACAACACAAUUAAAAUUGUACAGUGUGCAAGAUCAAUCCUUGUGUAAAAGAUGAGUUUUUAACUUUGGGUCACAUCUGCGUGUGUUAAAUCUGUAGAUAUAACCUCAUGUCCUUUGUGCAUAUCCUUUAUACUCUAACAAAUCUUUCUUUCAGCAUCACAGCUGGUGCAACCACAUACCCAGGAAACCAAAUCCCCUUCAAAUAUCUAUAAUCCUCUGGUUAAUAAUAAAAUAAAUUGUUGUUUUAAA